rnacentral:rRNA from 1 species
AGCAUAAUCAUUUGCCUUCUAAUUAAAGGCUAGAAUGAAAGGACAAACGAGGUUUAACCUGUCUCUAUAUUUCCCAUAAAAAUUAACUUUUAGGUGAAGAGGCCUAAAUUAUCUAAAAAGACAAGAAGACCCUGUUGAGUUUUAUUUUUACACAAACAAAAUUUUGUUGGGGCGACCAAGGAAUAAACAAAACUUCCUUCUUAAUAAAGAGCCAUAUCUCUAAUAAAUUGACCCUUUAUUGAUCAACAGAAUAAACUACCACAGGGAUAACAGGCUUAUUUUCUUUAAGAGUUCACAUUGAUAAGAAAGAGUUUUGCCACCUCGAUGUUGGCUUAGGAUACCUCUAAAAUGCAGAAGUUUUAAUGAGUAAGUUUGUUCAACUUUUAAAAU